rnacentral:rRNA from 1 species
UCCAGCAGCCAUAUCACUCUCCAACUCACAUCUGGCAGCCCCACUGGAGCUCAGCAGGUGUGAGCCUGGUCAGUACCUGGAUGGGAGACCUCCUGGGAAAAACUAAAUGUUGCUGCUGGAA